CGUCAAGUGGUGGAACCGGUAGACACACGGCGCUCAGAACGCCGCGCCACCGCAAGGGGCAUGGGAGUUCGAAUCUCCCCUUGACGA
rnacentral:tRNA from 1 species